ACCACAACCACUCCCUCCACCUCUCUUUUAAUCCCCAUCCGAGCCACAGAAACCCUAGCAUAUUUCCUCCCUCGCGCCGCCACCGUUCUCCUCUUCAUCUCCCUCGAUUUUUCUUCUUCUCUGUGAACCACCGAACAACACCACCACCUCCCCACCAUGGCGCCACCGCUACCGACGCUCCCUCGCCGAGCUGAUACCACCAGAAGAACGGCAUCAUCGUCCUCGUCUUCCCCCUGCAAGGAAUCGAACCGGAGCCCUCUAAAUCUCCGGCGAAUUCGCCGAUUCCGUCUUCAAGUCCGGCGAGCAAAUCUUCAAUUCCGGCGACGCCGGUGACCCCUUGGUGUCGGCUCCGCUACCUCAUGUUUCCCCAAGUCAGGGCGCACCUUCGACGCCCUGUACUUCGUCCCGGUUCGCCCGGGAGCUCCAGGUCCGUGCUCGACCAGUGACGUCCGCCAUGGCUGCCUCCGUGAGCUCCGCCUCUACCUCCUUCAUGUUGCUGCGAGCCCUCCUCUUGACACGAUCCGACCAGUAGCAUACUGAUCUGGCGCUGAGAGUUGGUUUACCUUGCGCAUGAGAUCUUCCUAAUCGUCAAUAUCAUAUCCGCCGACGGGCCUUGAUCCGGUGUCUCGCCGACUGGGCCUCAGCCCACGUGCGCCCCAGCUUCUUCGUCGCCCAGCGUGCGAUGGGCCUCUAUCCGUUGCUCAGCAUUUGCUUCUUCUCGGAUAGGAUCGCGAAGUGGUGCGGUGAGAUACGACAAGUUCUCCGGAUGUUCCUCGGCAAGCUUUAACAGGCAAGCAUUUCCCCUAUACUUCUGCCCCUGCAGAAGUCGCUCACCUAUUUUAUUUUGCCUUCUCCCUCAUGCUAUCCUUAUGUUGCGUUCUUGUCACGUGUCCCUUCCACUUGUUACCUCAAGCAGCCUAUAUUGCCUCCACCAACCUCCUACAGUUGUUGUUUGGUUUCGGGUCUGCCUUGCGAGUCGUAGUGCAUGCUAGUGCAGUUAUAUCUCGUUACCGUUACCGCUAUCUUAUCGGUUAUCUGUUGGGAAACAUGACACAUGGUUUAUGGAUAUAUCUGUUGAGGGUAUCAUGGUUACUUGUUAAUAGUUGUUAGCGGAGGCAUCGGUGGGUCAGCUGAUCGUUUUGUGACGGCUCACUUGUGUUUCUUUAAAGCUUAGGACCCGAGUUCCUGUUAUCUGUUCCGAGACUGAGCGCUCUAACCACACGUGGGUAUGCUUCUGGGUCUCCCCUCGACCACUGCCGGAAUCUACAGCUUUGUCCAGUUGCCACAACUAGUUUGCAAUGUUUUACCAUUUGUUGUUGCGUGCAUGCCAGCCUGUUACUUAUUUAUUUUGGGAAGCCCCUGGGUGCCUUGUAUCCCUUGUUUCUGGUAUGCACGUAUAGGUCGCGGAGCCGCUGCGAAGUGGUUUAUCGCCCCAGUGUGUGUUUAAACCACCUAGUACGCUGUCGCAAACAGCUAGGUCCGCUUCGGAGAUACGGCCGGACUUCGAUUCGGGUUCAACUUGGUUAGGUGGCUUCCUGGACAUUGUUGUCGUGAAGGAGAGUGCGAGUCGUUAUAUCCACCUGUCGCAAGUGGGUUGAUCGUGCGUGUGGGCACAUUUGGGCACCCCUGCAGGGUUAAAUCUUAUCGAUAAGCCGCGUCCGCGGUUAUGGACGACUUGGAGCUGUAUGACUCGACCAUAGACAACUUACACCUGUUGUUUCAAUCAUAAUAACUUGUGUAGUAAGUUAGCACAACUCUAAUAAUAAAUGGUUAAAACUUGACAACCGUGUGAGUGCCUUUGUAAGUACUUCCUUGCGAGGGGGGAACGCACCGGCUGUGUUAUGUUUGCAGAGUAUAGAACUGUUAGUUUGUGCGCUCUCUCACCUUCUCUGAUAGACGACUGUUGUAGAGUGUCUCUAUAGGUUUUUAGUGCUUGCGCGCUGCCGCUUAACCCCACCAUAUUGCCUAUGACGUUCCUCUUGCGUCCUCUAAGUCCCCUGCGUGCCUCAAGUACAAAGGACGACUGGUUGACGAAUGCUUAUACGUCUUGAAGUCUUGUUAAGUACGAACCCGUACUUAUUGCUGCUUCUACGGGAUAUAACC